AAUGUUUCAGAAGGAAGCUUCUAGAAAUCUUACUUCAGCCUAGGGAACUCAGGAUGACCCAUUCCACACAUAUUUCACUGAGUCUCUACAGUGUGUCACUCAGAAGACACCUAGCAAACUGCACUUGUUAUUCCAAAUCCCUUGGCUCCCUGCUGAGCAGAAGCUGCAGGAAACUGCCUGCCUGAGGAAUCUGCCUUCCCAUGGAAUCUGCCUUUCCAUGUGUGGUUGUCAAGACACACUUGUUGGCAAAACACAUUGAGAGCAGGAAUCAACAGAAAAGGUGACAAUGACAACAUAGCUGAGUUGAGAAAGCUGCCAGCUGUGGGUAAGAACCAAAGCAGAGCUCUUCCCAUAAGAAAUGUCAGCCUGGGGCAUGGGGAGGUGGCUCAGUGGUGAGGCACCAGCCUUGCAUGAGCAAGACACUGGGCUUACUCUGGCUCCACAGGCAGAAGGACAUGAGCGUAGAACUGACCAUAAACAGCAGAUGAUCAAAUUUACAGCUUAAAUUGAUAAUAUUGAGGGUCAGGCUGUAGUGUACCUGAUUGAGUGCACAAGGGCCUGGGUUCAAGCCCCCAGUCCCUACCUGCAGGAAUAAAGUUUCACAAGUGGUGAAGCAUGUCUGCAGGUGUCUCUCUUUCUCUCUUCCUCUCUGUCUCCCCUUUCCCUGACAAUUUGUCUGUCUCUAUCCAGUAAGUACAUAAAUAAGUAUACUACUAAAAAUAAAAUAAAAAUAAAAGUGGCACUA